rnacentral:rRNA from 1 species
ACGCUAGCGAUAGGCUUAACACAUGCAAGUCGAGGGGCAGCAUGGUCUUAGCUUGCUAAGACUGAUGGCGACCGGCGCACGGGUGCGUAACGCGUAUGCAACUUGCCUCACAGAGGGGGAUAACCCGUCGAAAGACGGACUAAUACCGCGUAUACUCCACUUUGGGCAUCCAAAGUAGAGGAAAUGAAAUUCGCUGUGAGAUAGGCAUGCGUCCCAUUAGCUAGUUGGUGAGGUAACGGCUCACCAAGGCGACGAUGGGUAGGGGAACUGAGAGGUUGAACCCCCACACUGGUACUGAGACACGGACCAGACUCCUACGGGAGGCAGCAGUGAGGAAUAUUGGUCAAUGGGCGAGAGCCUGAACCAGCCAAGUCGCGUGAAGGAUGACUGUCUUAUGGAUUGUAAACUUCUUUUAUACGGGAAUAACAAGAGUCACGAGUGACCCCCUGCAUGUACCGUAUGAAUAAGCAUCGGCUAACUCCGUGCCAGCAGCCGCGGUAAUACGGAGGAUGCGAGCGUUAUCCGGAUUUAUUGGGUUUAAAGGGUGCGUAGGCGGCCUGUUAAGUCAGCGGUGAAAUCUAGGAGCUUAACUCCUAAAUUGCCAUUGAUACUGGCGGGCUUGAGUGUAGAUGAGGUAGGCGGAAUGCGUGGUGUAGCGGUGGAAUGCAUAGAUAUCACGCAGAACUCCGAUUGCGAAGGCAGCUUACUAAGGUACAACUGACGCUGAAGCACGAAAGCGUGGGUAUCAAACAGGAUUAGAUACCCUGGUAGUCCACGCAGUAAACGAUGAUAACUGGGCGUAUGCGAUAUACAGUAUGCUCCUAAGCGAAAGCGUUAAGUUAUCCACCUGGGGAGUACGCCGGCAACGGUGAAACUCAAAGGAAUUGACGGGGGCCCGCACAAGCGGAGG